rnacentral:sRNA from 1 species
UGCGCAUUAAUUUAACCAUAUGACACGC